CUUCCCUUCACCUGUCCUCACUGGUCAACAGGCUUUGCCUGCACCACACGCACCAUGUCUUCCGGAUGCUGCUCUGGUCGUAACAACAACAGCGGGAACAGCUACACCGUGUGCUGCUACAGCCAGCAGUCCUGCUGCAAGACCCCGUGCUGCUCGCCCAUGCAGUACUGCUGCCCCAAGACCUGCUGCCUGCCCGCGCAGAGCUGCUGCCCCAUGCCGGCCUACUGCUACACCGUGAGCACGAACAACAACAACAACAACAGCUGCUGCGGCGGCUGCGGCUGCUGAUCCCGCUCGGCGCAGGCGGGCAGCGCGGUCGUCCCCUCCACCGCUGCACGGCCCGCUGCUUCCCGGCCGGCUCGCACGGUGUCGGAUGUGGAUACGGACAUGGCCCUACGCUCCUCCUUGCUUAGAGACGUUCUCUCCUCUUCUUCGCCUGCCUUUCAUUAGCGAAUGCCUGUGAUGUGCUUUUGAAGUUGCUACCUGCUCAACAGUGAGAGAUGUUCCUUUGUAAGCCUUAGUCCUGCUGCUAAUUUUCCUUUUGGUGCACGGGAUGUUUAAUGCUGUUGCUCUAUCAAACUCCACUUUCUUGCUUUAAUCUCCAAGUAGUCAUAAAGGGCAAUAAAAGCUAUAGUUUAUGACUUUGCAAA